CAGGGUACUCGAGUGGCGAACGGGUGAGUAACACGUGGGUGAUCUGCCCUGCACUUCGGGAUAAGCUUGGGAAACUGGGUCUAAUACCGGAUAGGAACCAUCUUUAGUGUGGUGGUUGGAAAGUUUUUUCGGUGUAGGAUGAGCUCGCGGCCUAUCAGCUUGUUGGUGGGGUAAUGGCCUACCAAGGCUUUGACGGGUAGCCGGCCUGAGAGGGUGACCGGCCACAUUGGGACUGAGAUACGGCCCAG
rnacentral:rRNA from 1 species